CUUUGUGUCUCUCAGAACCAUCAUGGCCUCUCCAUGUAUCUUUACAGUAUACCCUCUGAGACCUGCUGAGUAUAUGACUCAGCAAAUCACCAUGGUGAUGGGAGAAAGCCAGGCUGUGGGGGCACCAGCUAUAACGGGGUAAUACUUGGAAGGCAAUUUCUUUCUGAGAACUUGCUGCAGCCUAGCUUGGAGUCCUGGCCUGGAAAGCUUGAAUAUGAAAAGUCAGGUGGGCCAUAAAACAUGAAGGAACCAGUAAGCCAGGCCAGUGGAAACAUUCUAGAGUUGAAAAUCCUCUAUGGAACAAGCUUACCUACAUGUGGCCUGUCCUUCCCAGCGGCCAACUUAAUGAGGAGUUUGAUUGGCCAAUACAAGGACUGCUUGUUCCAAGCAGUCCUCCCAUGAAGAAACCCAUCUGUAAGACAACAGAGCCAUAUGCCCCUGUGCGACUCAGAGUUUUGCGGAAUGGAGACAAUAAUAAAAACAGAUCCGUUACUAUCCUUGGUCCAGAUAUCUCACCUGGACGGAAAACGCAGUGCACUGAGAUUUUAAAUUUACCUUCUGCAGCUCGGAGAUUGUACAGUGAAAAGGGGAAGGAAAUAUUUGCCUUAAAAGACCUGCAAAGAGAUGAACUGGUGUAUGUUUCAUGUGGAGAACACUGGAUCAAUCCUGACCUGUCCGUUGCUCAGCAAAAGAAACAAAUAUUCCUGAGGAACCUAGAAUCAGACAUUGCCAAAAUUCAAAUCUUCUGCUGCACACAUAAAAUAGAAGCUCUUGUUUUAGAAGUCCAAAGUGACAUUGUAUCUGGAAGCAAGCUUGCUGUGCAUAAACCUGUAGCAAUUUUUGGAGAAGAGAAGCAAGUUACAGAGCCAGAAGAAAAGCAAAUGCAAGAAGAUGCUCUAACAAUGGAAAAUGCUUCCGGUGAAAUUCUAGAUUCACACGCAAGAGCUCAUCUUCGAAUGAAGGCUUGUCACACACUUCUCAGGUAUGCCUGGCAGGAAACUUCACAUGACUUUGAUGAGGAUGACAGUCUUCCAAAGAAAAUGGAAAAAGGGCUCUUUGAAAACGUGGAACCACAGAAGAAACACAGCUGUUCACCAAAGCAUAGUAAAUUGCACAAGCAUUACCAUCAGCAGUUCGAAUACAGAGAUGGGCAGAUUAUAAGCCAUGCUGCUCCUCAGCUAGUCUUGGGGGUUCAAGGUCCCAAUCUCCGGUCAGGCAUGGAGGUGGUUUUGGUGGAGAAGAAAUCUGAUGGUAGUCAUCAGCGCUGGAUAUACCAGGAAGAGAGCAGGACCUUUCACCUGGUGAGUAACCCUGACCUUGUGCUGGCAGUGUCUAUGACCAAGACUAGAAAUGAAGUUUGUGGCUAUCCAGUUAUUGUUCAGAAAUAUAAGCCAUACAACAAUGGAGCUGCCAAUCAAAAGUGGCAUUACAUGAAAAAUAUAAAAGCACUUGUGGCCUUUCAUAGCACUGCCUUGGAUAAGGAAAUUACAUCAGCAAAUUACGCUGGUGUCUGUACAUCAUCUGUGAUUAAAGAAGAAAACAUUGAUCAACCAGGAUACUGUUAUCUCUCACCUGAUGGAAAGAGAAAAACUAUGCUCUGCUUGGCUUGUGGACAAUCCAUGAGAACAGAGAAAGGACUGAAACAAUUGCUUCCAGGGGUUCCAUUCCUCUGUAUUUCAGGCACCAAGACCCAAAAGCCCUUCUUACGAGGGCCCUUCAAGGUCAUCAGUGUGGCUGAGGUUGAUUUGUCAUGUGACAAGGCUGAAAAAACUCUAAGUUAUUACCAAGCACAUCUAUUGUCUUUACGGAUGAAGACCUGCACGCGAGCUGCAUCUCACAGUGGCAUGGCAGCCACACACCAGAAGGCAGUGAAAAUAAUUGCAUACAAAAAUGGGGAUGGAUAUCGUAAUGGGAAGUUAAUUGUGGCUGGAACAUUCCCCAUGGUAAGUGACUAUCACUUAAAUGCUGCUUGCAUCUUCAGAGGUAAUGAUAAUGGCAAUUCUUAAAGAAAAAGCAGUGGGAUUGAGUGAUAAAUGUCCUUGGCCAGAUUCACCAGUUAAAGCUGAUGAGAUCAAGAUCUCUGUUUACUUAAAGACAUUUUAUUUGAUUGUAUGUCAGUGGAUACAGACUUAGAAAAACUAGAAACCAGAAUUCAGUUUUUAGAUUGGCUCUAGAGCAGAGAUCUAUAAGAAAGAGGAAAACAAAGCCACUGGAUUUUCUUCCUUCUUGUGAUGGACGGAAUGCCUUUUUCUGCCUUGUUUCUCAUGCCAGCUUCAAGUUGUGUGUCAUCUGAAUCAUCCAAGAGAUGCCACCUCAUUCACCAUCUGGAGUAUCUGGGCAUUUAUUUGUUGAUAGGUUGUUUUAUUUUAUUUUCAAAUUGGAGAAGCACGGGCUGUGUUAGGAGGAACUACGUGGUCUGCCUUGGGGGCUGCUCCUCACAGUCAUAGGAAGAGAGAAGAACCUAGAAGGCCCAAACCCAGCUUUGUCCUUGCACUGCUUGGUGAUUAUCUUGACUAUUCACUCUGGCCAAUGUCUUUAGCAAUGUAUUUUACAAGUGAUGUUUGAUAUGAUAUGGAGUUACCCUGCAGACUUCCUUGCAAGCACACGUAUCUAUUCCCUCACCUCUUUGGCUGAAAAUUUUUUUUUUUAAUUAAGGUAUUGUUAUUCAAUAGACUAAGCAAAAUACGGAAGUUAGCAACUCCAAGAUUCACCCAGGGAUCCACAGCUGGCUUUUAUGGCCUUGGGCAAAAAUUUUAAUCUUUCAUCCUGUUUUUCCAUCUGCAAAAUGGAGGUAAUAAUACCUGUCAGUUCUUGGUUUGAAGGUUAACUACUUACUUAUUUUAAAACAGUUUAUCAGUAUGAAGUAUUACAACAGUUGUAUAACAUAAAGCAACAAAUUUGAAAGUGGAUUUUUAAGUUGAACAAUUUUUAGAAGAUACUCUGAUGCUAAAAUAUAUUAAUAUAUGUCAGCUGCCAUGUUAAAUUUGUGGAGCUAGGAAAUUUACAGCUGGAUUGGACUACUGUUGUGAAAUUAGGUAGGACAAUCUAAUAUCGAAAAUAGUCUCUAAUCAAAGAUCAACUUCAGUAGUAAUUCAGCUUUCUAUUUUCUCAAAUUCAAUUAUUUUUUUUCAGAUUUUUAGAAUGACAAGCUCUUAAUGAUUAUUCCCAAUCCUAUCACCUUUGCCUGUCAGAUCCUUACUGCCUGUGUUAUCUAGCUUCUUACAGAAUGCACGGAACAACUUGGGCUUGCCAGAGCAGCCUCCAAAGUAUAUACCAAAGAUGGAACCCCAAUCUUUACCUUGCGUGAUUUGGUUUUAUGGGCUCUAGAUGAAUCCUUUCUCCAGAGAGACUCUGAGAAACAAAAGCAAGAUGCAGCUCCUGUUGGAAAAGAACAGAUAAUUGUUGAAAAAAAUCCAAGAAUGAAAGUGAAAAACAGAUUAUUUGCAAAAUCUGUGACAUCUGAUAGUUUGGAUGGUAUAGACAAGUCUUUGCUUACCGUCAUCCUCAGAAAUCCUAUUGCCAUCUGGGUAUCUUGUGGUGAACCAUUUCUACCUCCAAAUGCUUUGCAGAAAGCAGAAAAAUUAGAGAAACAGAACUGGCUAAAAAAGGACAGAAUUUUGGCUGAUCUAGAUACCAUGAGACACAAAAUGAGACAGUUAAAAGGGCGGCGAGUAGCGGCAUGUCAGCCAGCCACCAUGGUUCCUACCAAGAGCCCUGUGCAGCCCGUGGUGGUGGAAGGAGGCUGGACCCAACAGACUCAAGAGGAAAUUAAACUCAUGGAGUUUAUAAGACAUACAGAGGCACACCUUUCUGAAAUCCAAGAAAUGGAAUCCAAAAUAAAUUUUCCAAUUGCAACCAAACAUAUAGCAGUCAAGCCAAGCAACCUGUAUACGCAGCCCAACACAAAACGAGUGUGGAUUUAUCUAAAUGGAGGCAGACCUGAAGAUGGCACUUACGCCUGGGGCAAAACUAUUUCAGAGCUGCUGCAAGACUGCUCCUCUCGUCUCAAAAUGACCCACCCAGCUAGAGCACUGUACACUCCCAAUGGAGAGCCAAUUCAGUCCUGGGACGACAUAGAGCGAGAUAUGGUCAUCUGUGUGUCUAUGGGACAUGGUUUCAAAACCCCAAAAGAGUUAAAACAACUGAUGGAGAUCAGAGCAAAUUAUUCCAGAAUCCGAAGGCAGCAGGGCCCUCAAGCCACAGACAUUGUGGUGUCACCAUCCACAAAGCUGCUGUCUCUGGCACAUCUCCACAAUUAACUCCUAUCAGAGCCAUCGGAUUUUCUGCUGUAUUUUGCUGGAAAGAAAACUUUCUUUACCCACUUAUAAACAGAAGACUGUGACAAGAAGGCCAAUUAUUUCCAUCGCUGAAGACUCUAAAUUUGGCAAAUCUUCUAAAUAACAAUCCUGCCUAGUUUAUUAAAAAAAAAUUCGUCGCAAAAUUUAUCCUUCAAAAAUCUGCAUUUUAAAUAAACCCUGACAGUGAUUUCUCAAGACUGUAAAGAUAUUAGUCUGAGAAUGCCCCUCUAACAGACUGCUCUGGGCAUCUUUUCUCUUUGCCUUGGCCAGGCCUCUCAGAAUUGAGUUAGCGUGUGACUCCAUUUGCACAGCGGGACAGACGAGUACAGCUGAAAUAAAAAGUGGAGGCCUCUGCAAAAAAAAAAAAAUUUAUCCUUCAAAA
rnacentral:sRNA from 1 species